GCCGACGUGGCUCAAUGGCAGAGCAAUUGUUUCGUAAUCAAUAGGUUGGAAGUUCGAUUCUUCUCGUCGGCACCA
rnacentral:tRNA from 3 species